AAACUUUCAACAACGGAUCUCUUGGUUCUCGCAUCGAUGAAGAACGCAGCAAAAUGCGAUAAGUAUUGUGAAUUGCAGGAUUUUGUGAAUCAUCGAAUUUUUGAACGCACAUUGCACCUUCUGGUAUUCCAGAGGGUAUACCUGUUUGAGCGUCAUUU
rnacentral:rRNA from 1 species